UCAAAUGAGGAAAGGCUUAUGGUGGAUACCUAGGCACCCAGGGACGAGGAAGGGCGUAGUAAUCGACGAAAUGCUUUGGGGAGUUGAAAAUAAGCAUAGAUCCGGAGAUUCCCGAAUAGGGCAACCUUUCGAACUGCUGUUGAAUCUAUGGGCGGUCAAGAGACAACCUGGCGAACUGAAACAUCUUAGUAGCCAGAGGAAAAGAAAGUAAACGCGAUUCCCAUAGUAGCGACGAGCGAAAUGGGAUCUUCCUAAACCAUGAAAAUGGGGUUGUGGGAGAGCAAUACAAGCGUCAUGCUGCUAGGUGAAACAACCUGAAUGUUGCACCCUAGAUGGUAAAAGUCCAGUAGCCGAAAGCAUCACUAGCUUACGCUCUGAACCAAGUAGCAUGGGGCACAUGGAAUCCCGUGUGAAUCAGCAAGGACCACCUUGCAAGGCUAAAUACUCCUGGGUGACUGAUAGCGAAGUAGUACCAUGAGGGAAGGGUGAAAAGAACCCCCAUCAGGGAGUAAAAUAGAACAUGAAAUCAUAAGCUCCCAAGCAGUGGGAGGAGCCAGGGCUCUGACCGCGUGCCUGUUGAAGAAUGAGUCGGCGACUCAUAGGCAGUGGCUUGGUUAAGGGAACCCACUGGAGCCGUAGCAAAAAUGAGUCUUCAUAGGGCAACAGUCACUGCUUAUGGACCCGAACCUGGGUGAUCUAUCUAUGACCAGGAUGAAGCUUGGGUGAAACUAAGUGGAGGUCCGAACCGACUGAUGUUGAAGAAUCAGUGGAUGAGUUGUGGUUGGGGGUGAAAUGCCACUCGAACCUCGAGCUAGCUGGUUCUCCCCAAAAUGCGUUGAGGCAUAACAGUUGAUUGGACAUCUAGGGGUAAAGCACUGUUUCGGUGCAGGCCGCAAGAGUGGUACCAAAUUGAGGCAAACUCUGAAUAUUAGGUAUAGCCUUAAAAUUAAGAAAGAGGGGUCAAAGUCGGCUAGUGAGACGAUGGGGGACAAGCUUCAUCGUCGAGAGGGAAACAACCCGGAUCACUAGCUAAGGCCUCUAAAUGGCCACUCAGUGACAAAGAAGGUAGGGGUGUGGAGACAGCCAGGAGGUUUGCCUAGAAGAAGCCACCCUUGAAAGAGUGCGUAAUAUCUCACUGAUCAAGCGCUCUUGCACCAAAGAUGAAUGGGGCUAAGUGAUCUGCCGAAGCUGUGGGGUGUAAAAAUACAUCAGUAGGGGAGCGUUUUGCCUUAGAGGGAAGCCUUCGCAUGAGCGGUAGUGGACGAAUUGGAAGGGAGAAUGUCGGCUUGAGUAACGCAAACAUUGGUGAGAAUCUAAUGCCCCGAAAACCUAAGGAUUCCUCCGAAAGGUUUGUCCAGGGAGGGUGAGUCAGGGCCUAAGAUCAGGCUGAAAGGUGUAGUCGAUGGACAACAGGUGAAUACUCCUGUACUACCCCUUGUUGGUCCCGAAGGAUGGAGAAGGCUAGGUUAGUCGAAAAAUGGUUAUCGGUUCAAGAACGUAAGGUGUCGUUGCCUUUUUUUCAGGGUAAGAAGGGGUAGAGAAAAUGCCUCGAGCCAAUGUUCGAAUACUAGGCGCUACGGUGCUGAAGUAACCUAUGCCAUACUCCUAGGAAAAGCUCAAACGACUUUAAGCAAGAGGGUACCUGUACCCAAAACCGACACAAGUGGGUAGGUAGAGAAUACCUAGGGGCGCGAGACAACUCUCUCUAAAAAACUCGACAAAAUAGCCCGGUAACUUCGGGAGAGGGGUGACACUUCACAUCACAAAGGGGGUCGUAGUGACCAAGCCCAGGCGACAGUUUACCAAAAACACAGGUCUCCGUAAAGUCGUAAGACUAUGUAUGGGGGCUGACGCCUGCCCAGUGCUGGAAGUUCAAGAAAGUUGGUGACCUGAUGACAGGGGAGACGACGACCGAAGCCUCAGUGAACGGCGUCCGUAACUAUAAUGGUCCUAAGGUAGCGAAAUUCCUUGUCGGGUAAGUUCCGACCCGCUCAAAAGGCGUAACGAUCUGGGCACUAUCUCGGAUAGAGGCUCGGUGAAAUAGACAUGUCUGUAAAGAUGCAGACUACCUGCACUUGGAAAGAAAGACCCUAUGAAGCUUCACUAUUUCCUGGGAUUAGCUUUGGGCCAUUCCUGCGUAGCUUAGGUGGAAGGCGAAGAAGGCCUCCUUCCGGAGGGCCCGAGCCAUCAGUGAGAUACUACUCUGGAAGGGCUAGAAUUCUAACUUUGUGUCAGGACCUACGGGCUAAGGGACAGUCUCAGGUAGACAGUUUCUAUGGGGAAUAGGCCUCCCAAAAGGUAACGGAGGUGUACCAAGGUUUCCUCGGGCAGGACAAAGAUUAGCCCUCGAGUGCAAAGGCAUAAGGGAGCUUGACUGCAAGACCCACCCAUCGAGUAGGGAUGAAAGUUGGCCCUAGUGAUCCGAUGGUGCCGAGUGGAAGGGCCGUCGCUCGACGGAUAAAAUUUACUCUAGGGAUAACAGUCUGAUCUUCCCCAAGAUCUCAUAUCGACGGGAAGGUUUGGAACCUCGAUGUUGGCUCUUCGCUACCUAGGUCUAUUGUAUGUUCCAAGGGUUGGGUUGUUCACCCAUUAAAGCGGUACGUGAGCUGGGUUCAGAACAUCGUGAGACAGUUCGAUCCAUAUCCAGUGUGAGCGUUAGAGUAUUGAGAUUGAGAGGACCUUUCCCUAGUACGAGAGGACCAGGAAGGACGCACCUCUGGUGUACCAGUUAUCGUGCCCACAGUAAAUGCUGGGUAGCCAAGUGCGGAGAGGAUAACUGCUGAAAGCAUCUAAGUAGUAAGCCCACCGCAAGAUGAGUGCAUUCUUAUUCCGACUUCCCCAGAGCUUCCGGUAGCACAGCCGAGACAGCGAUGGGUUCUCUGUCCCUACAGGGAUGGAGUGACAGAAGUUUUUUUGAGAAUUCAAGAGAAGGUCACGGCAAGACGAGCCGUUUAUAAUUACGAUACGUGUUAAGUGGAAGUGUAGUGAUGUAUGCAACUGAGGCAUCCUAACAGACUGGUAGACUUGAACCU
rnacentral:rRNA from 1 species